UCUAGGCUCCCGGAUUUCAGCACGGCUAAAUGGAUUCCUAGGUAAAUCAUUAGGCUCCCGUCGAAACUUUGCACUUGUGAUGCGUCGUAAAUCUCCCCUUGUGGGUUCUAACCUUGUGGAAUCUGUCCGUGUGGACGAAGUUUUUCCUGUACUUACGGAAUCUGCCCGUGUGGACGAAGUUUUCCCUGUACUUAUGGAAUCUGCCCGUGUGGACGAAGGUUUCAAGGUACUUAUGGAAUCUGCCCGUGUGGACGAAGUUUUCCCUGUACUUAUGGAAUCUGCCCGUUCGAAGUUCAGGUUGAUUGGAUUCUUAAUGGGGUGCCUCGUAAUUUCCGACGGAGGGUCAUCCAUCACCAAGUUGACGUCAUCUUGUGGAUGUGAGAUGCUUU
rnacentral:lncRNA from 1 species